rnacentral:rRNA from 1 species
CCCGGGAGGAGAGUAUGUUAGCGGCGGACGGGUGAGUAACACGUGGGUAACCUGCCUGUAAGACUGGGAUAACUCCGGGAAACCGGAGCUAAUACCGGAUAGUUCCUUGAACCGCAUGGUUCAAGGAUGAAAGACGGUUUCGGCUGUCACUUACAGAUGGACCCGCGGCGCAUUAGCUAGUUGGUGGGGUAAUGGCUCACCAAGGCGACGAUGCGUAGCCGACCUGAGAGGGUGAUCGGCCACACUGGGACUGAGACACGGCCCAGACUCCUACGGGAGGCAGCAGUAGGGAAUCUUCCGCAAUGGACGAAAGUCUGACGGAGCAACGCCGCGUGAGUGAUGAAGGUUUUCGGAUCGUAAAGCUCUGUUGUUAGGGAAGAACAAGUGCGAGAGUAACUGCUCGCACCUUGACGGUACCUAACCAGAAAGCCACGGCUAACUACGUGCCAGCAGCCGCGGUAAUACGUAGGUGGCAAGCGUUGUCCGGAAUUAUUGGGCGUAAAGGGCUCGCAGGCGGUUUCUUAAGUCUGAUGUGAAAGCCCCCGGCUCAACCGGGGAGGGUCAUUGGAAACUGGGAAACUUGAGUGCAGAAGAGGAGAGUGGAAUUCCACGUGUAGCGGUGAAAUGCGUAGAGAUGUGGAGGAACACCAGUGGCGAAGGCGACUCUCUGGUCUGUAACUGACGCUGAGGAGCGAAAGCGUGGGGAGCGAACAGGAUUAGAUACCCUGGUAGUCCACG